UCUUAUAUGGCAGANUAAUG
rnacentral:tRNA from 1 species